CAGCACCUCAAGUGGUCAGGAUGAUUAUUGGGCCUAAAGCAUCCGUAGCCGGCGCUGUAAGUUUUCGGUUAAAUCUGUACGCUCAACGUACAGGCUGCCGGGAAUACUGCAGCGCUAGGGAGUGGGAGAGGUAGACGGUACUCGGUAGGAAGGGGUAAAAUCCUUUGAUCUAUUGAUGACCACCUGUGGCGAAGGCGGUCUACCAGAACACGUCCGACGGUGAGGGAUGGAAGAUGGGGGAGCAAACCGGAUUAGAUACCCGAGUAGUCC
rnacentral:rRNA from 1 species